rnacentral:rRNA from 1 species
AUUGAACGCUGGCGGCAGGCCUAACACAUGCAAGUCGAGCGAGCGGAGGACGGGUGAGUAAUGUAUGGGGCUCUGCCCGAUAGAGGGGGAUAGCUACUGGAAACGGUGGCUACUACCGAAUAAUAUAGGGUGAACCCAUAUGGUAUUAGCUAGUAGGGGGGGUAAAGGCGCACCUAGGCGACUAUCUCUAGCUGGUCUGAGAGGAUGAUCAGCCACACGGGGACUGAGACACGGCCCAGACUCCUACGGGAGGCAGCAGUGGGGAAUAUUGCACAAUGGGCGCAAGCCUGAUGCAGCCAUGCCGCGUGUAUGAAGAAGGCCUUAGGGUUGUAAAGUACUUUCAGCGGGGAGGCGUUACCCGCAGAAGAAGCACCGGCUAACUCCGUGCCAGCAGCCGCGGUAAUAC